ACUUACUGGUUUCGCUCAGACACCAACUGUGUAUCGCUGAUGUCGAGUAUCCAUAGUUUAUGGCGUGGACUACCAGGGGUAUCUAUAUCCUGCUUUGAUCCCCACGCUUUCUAGCCUCAGUGUCAAUAACUGCGUAGUAAGCUGCCUUCGCUAUCGGUGUUCUAUAUCAUAUCUAAGCAUUUCACCGCUACAUGAUAUAUUCCGCUUACUUCCACAGUAUUCAAGACUAGUAGUAUCAAUGGCAGUUUCCAAGUUAAGCUCGGAGAUUUCACCACUGACUUACAAGCCCACCUACGCUCCCUUUAAACCCACUGAAUCCGGAUAAAGCUUGCACCCUCCGUAUUACCGCGGCUGCUGGCACGGAGUUAGCCGGUGCUUAUUCAUAGAGUACCGUCAACCCAAUUAGAAAACUGGGGUUUCUUCUUCUAUAAAAGAAGUUUACAAUCCAGAGGACCUUCAUCCUUCACGCGGCAUGGCUGGUUCAGAGUUGCCUCCAUUGACCAAUAUUCCUCACUGCUGCCUCCCGUA
rnacentral:rRNA from 1 species